GAUGCAAAACGGGUGCAUUUCGGCACCCGAAUGCACUAUUUCCGGGUAGCGAAACUCGGGUGGAUUUUCUCACAACGAAUGCAUCCAAUCUUCCUAAUUAUACCCUAGAACAUGUUUGGGAGUGUUUCUGAGCAUUCGGUUUCGGAACGAAAAAUGAUGCAAAACGGGUGCAUUUCGGCACCCGAAUGCAUAUUGCCGGGUAGCGAAACUCGGGUGGAUUUUUUCGCAACGAACGCAUGCAAUCUUCCUAAUUAUACCCUAGAACAUGUUUGGGAGUAUUUUUGAGCUUUCGGUUCCGGAAGGAAAAAUGAUGCAAAACGGGUGCAUUUCGGCACCCGAAUGCACUUUCUCCGUGUAGCGAAACUCGGGUGGAUUUUUUCGCAACGAACGCAUGCAAUCUUCCUAAUUAUACCCUAGAACAUGUUUGGGAGUGUUUUCGAGCAUUCGGUUCCGGAACGAAAAAUGAUGCAAAACGGGUGCAUUUCGACACCCGAAUGCACUUUUUCCGUGUAGCGAAACUCGGGUGGAUUUUUUCGCAACGAACGCAUGCAAUCUUCCUAAUUAUACCCUAGAACAUGUUUGGGAGUGUUUUUGGGCAUUCGGUUCCGGAACGAAAAAUGAUGCGAAACGGGUGCAUUUCGGCACCCGAAUGCAUAUUGCCGGGUAGCGAAACUCGGGUGGAUUUUUUCGCAACGAACGCAUGCAAUCUUCCUAAUUAUACCCUAGAACAUGUUUGGGAGUGUUUUUGAGCAUUCGGUUCCGGAACGAAAAAUGAUGCAAAACGGGUGCAUUUCGGCACCCGAAUGCAUAUUGCCGGGUAGCGAAACUCGGGUGGAUUUUUUCGCGACGAACGCAUGCUAUCUUCCUAAUUAGACCCUAGAACAUGUUUGGGAGUGUUUUUGAGCAUUCGGUUCCGGAACGAAAAAUGAUGCAAAAUGGGUGCAUUUCGGCACCCGAAUGCCCUUUCUCCGUGUAGUGAAAAUCGGGUGGAUUUUUUCGCAACGAACGCAUGCAAUCUUCCUAAUUAUACCCUAGAACAUGUUUGGGAGUGUUUUUGAGCAUUCGGUUCCGGAACGAAAAAUGAUGCAAAAUGGGUGCAUUUCGGCACCCGAAUGCACUUUUUCCGUGUAGCCAAGAUCAGGUGGAUUUUUUCGCAACGAACGCAUGCAGUCUUCCUAAUUAUACCCUAGAACAUGUUUGGGAGUGUUUUUGAGCAUUCGGUUCCGGAACGAAAAACGAUGCAAAACGGGUGCAUUUCAGCACCCGAAUGCACUUUUUCCGUGUAGCGAAACUCGGGUGGAUUUUUUCGCAACGAACGCAUGCAAUCUUCGUAAUUAUAUCCUAGAACAUGUUUGGGAGUGUUUUUGAGCAUUCGGUUCUGGAACGAAAAAUGAUGCAAAACGGGUGCAUUUCGGCAUCCGAAUGCACUAUUUCCGGGUAGCGAAACUUGGGUGGAUUUUUUCGCAACGAACGCACCCAAUCUACCUCAUUAGACCUUAGAACAUGUUUGGGAUUGUUUUCGAGCAUUCGGUUCCGUCACGAAAAAUGAUGCAAAACGAGUGGAUUUCGGCACCCGAAUGCACUAUUUUCGGGUAGCGAAACUCAGGUGGAUUUUUUCGCAACGAACGCAUCCAAUCUACCUAAUUAGACCCUAGAACAUGUUCAGAAGUGUUUCCGAGCAUUCGGUUCCGUCACGAAAAAUGAUGCAAAAAUAGUGGAUUUCGGCACCCAAAUCCACUAUUUCCAGGUAGCGAAACUCGUGUUAAUUUUCUCGCAACGAACGCAUCCAAUCUACCUCAUUAGACCGUAGAACAUGUUUGGGAGUGUUUUUGAGCAUUCGGUUUCGGCACGAAAAAUGAUGCAAAACGAGUGGAUUUCGGCACCCGAAUGCACUAUUUCCGGGUAGCGAAACUCGGGUGGAUUUUUUCGCAACGAACGCAUGCAAUCUUCCUAAUUAUACCCUAGAGCAUGUUUGGGAGUGUUUUUGAGCAUUCGGUUCCGGCACGAAAAAUGAUGCAAAACGGGUGCAUUUCAGCACCCGAAUGCACUAUUUCGGGGUAGCGAAACUCAGGUGGAUUUUUUCGCAACGAACGCAUGCAAUCUACCUAAUUAUACCCUAGAACAUGUUUGGGAGUGUUUUUGGGCAUUCGGUUCCGGCACGAAAAACGAUGCAAAACGGGAGCAUUUCGGCACCCAAACACACUAUUUCCGGGUAGCGAAACUCGGGUGGAUUUUUUCGCAACGAACGCAUGCAAUCUUCCUAAUUAUACCCUGGAACAUGUUUGGGAGUGUUUUUGAGCAUUCGGUUCCGGAACGAAAAAUGAUGCAAAACGGGUGCAUUUCGGCACCCGAAUGCACUUUCUCCGUGUAGCGAAAAUCGGGUGGAUUUUUUCGCAACGAACGCAUGCAAUCUUCCUAAUUAUACCCUAGAACAUGUUUGGGAGUGUUUUUGAGCAUUCGGUUCUGGAACGAAAAAUGAUGGAAAACGGGUGCAUUUCGGCACCCGAAUGCACUUUUUCCGUGUAGCGAAAAUCGGGUGGAUUUUUUUGCAACGAACGCAUGCAAUCUUCCUAAUUAUACCCUAGAGCAUGUUUGGGAGUGUUUUUGAGCAUUCGGUUCCGGAACGAAAAAUGAUGCAAAACGGGUGCAUUUCGGCACCCGAAUGCAUAUUGCCGGGUAGCGAAACUCGUGUGGAUUUUUUCGCAACGAACGCAUGCAAUCUUCCUAAUUAUACCCUAGAACAUGUUCAGAAGUGUUUCUGAGCAUUCGGUUCCGGCACGAAAAAUGAUGCAAAACGGGUGCAUUUCAGCACCCGAAUGCACUAUUUCGGGGUAGCGAAACUCAGGUGGAUUUUUUCGCAACGAACGCAUGCAAUCUACCUAAUUAUACCCUAGAACAUGUUUGGGAGUGUUUUUGGGCAUUCGGUUCCGGCACGAAAAACGAUGCAAAACGGGAGCAUUUCGGCACCCAAACACACUAUUUCCGGGUAGCGAAACUCGGGUGGAUUUUUUCGCAACGAACGCAUGCAAUCUUCCUAAUUAUACCCUGGAACAUGUUUGGGAGUGUUUUUGAGCAUUCGGUUCCGGAACGAAAAAUGAUGCAAAACGGGUGCAUUUCGGCACCCGAAUGCACUUUCUCCGUGUAGCGAAAAUCGGGUGGAUUUUUUCGCAACGAACGCAUGCAAUCUUCCUAAUUAUACCCUGGAACAUGUUUGGGAGUGUUUUUGAGCAUUCGGUUCCGGAAUGAAAAAUGAUGGAAAACGGGUGCAUUUCGGCACCCGAAUGCACUUUUUUCGUGUAGCGAAAAUCGGGUGGAUUUUUUUGCAACGAACGCAUGCAAUCUUCCUAAUUAUACCCUAGAGCAUGUUUGGGAGUGUUUUUGAGCAUUCGGUUCCGGAACGAAAAAUGAUGCAAAACGGGUGCAUUUCGGCACCCGAAUGCAUAUUGCCGGGUAGCGAAACUCGGGUGGAUUUUUUCGCAACGAACGCAUGCAAUCUUCCUAAUUAUACCCUAGAACAUGUUCAGAAGUGUUUCUGAGCAUUCGGUUCCGGCACGAAAAAUGAUGCAAAACGGGUGCAUUUCAGCACCCGAAUGCACUAUUUCUGGGUAGCGAAACUCGUGUGGAUUUUUUCGCAACGAACGCAUGCAAUCUUCCUAAUUAUACCCUAGAACAUGUUUGGAAAUGUUUUUGAGCAUUCGGUUCCGGCACGAAAAACGAUGCAAAACGGGUGCAAUACGGCACCCGAAUGCUAUAUUUCCGGGUAGCGAAAGUCGGGUGGAUUUUUUCGCAACGAACGCAUGCAAUCUUCCUAAUUAUACCCUAGAACAUGUUUGGGAGUGUUUUUAGGCAUUCGGUCUCGGCACGAAAAAUGAUGCAAAACGGGUGCAUUUCGACAUCCGAAUGCACUAUUUCCGGGUAGCGAAACUCGGGUGGAUUUUUUCGCAAUGAACGCACCCAAUCUACCUCAUUAGACCCUAGAACUUGUUUGGGAUUGUUUUCGAGCAUUCAGUUCCGUCACGAAAAAUGAUGCAAAACGAGUGGAUUUCGGCACCCGAAUGCACUAUUUGCGGGUAGCGAAACUCGGGUGGAUUUUUUCGCAACGAACGCAUGCAAUCUUCCUAAUUAUACCCUAGAACAUGUUUGGGAGUGUUUUUGAGCAUUCGGUUCCGGAACGAAAAAUGAUGCAAAACGGGUGCAUUUCGGCACCCGAAUGCAUAUUGCUGGGUAGCGAAACUCGGGUGGAUUUUUUCGCAACGAACGCAUGCAAUCUUCCUAAUUAUACCCUAGAACAUGUUUGGGAGUGUUUUUGAGCAUUCGGUUCCGGAACGAAAAAUGAUGCAAGACGGGUGCAUUUCGGCACCCGAAUGCAUUAUUUCCGGGUAGCGAAACUCGGGUGGAUUUUUUCGCAACGAACGCAUGCAAUCUUCCUAAUUAUACCCUAGAACAUGUUUGGAAAUGUUUUUGAGCAUUCGGUUCCGGCACAAAAAACGAUGCAAAACCGGUGCAAUACGGCACCCGAAUGCUAUAUUUCCGGGUAACGAAAGUCGGGUAGAUUUUUUCGCAACGAACGCAUGCAAUCUUCCUAAUUAUACCCUAGAACAUGUUCAGAAGUGUUUCCGAGCAUUCGGUUCCGUCACGAAAAAUGAUGCAAAAACAGUGGAUUUUGGCACCCAAAUCCACUAUUUCCAGGUAGCGAAACUCGUGUUCAUUUUCUCGCAACGAACGCAUCCAAUCUACCUCAUUAGACCGUAGAACAUGUUUGGAAGUGUCUUCGAGCAUUCGGUUUCGGCACGAAAAAUGAUGCAAAACGAGUGGAUUUCGGCACCCGAAUGCACUAUUUCCGGGUAGCGAAACUCGGGUGGAUUUUUUCGCAACGAACGCAUGCAAUCUUCGUAAUUAUACCCUAGAACAUGUUUGGGAGUGUUUUUGAGCAUUCGGUUCCGGCACGAAAAAUGAUGCAAAACGGGUGCAUUUCGGCACCCGAAUGCUAUAUUUCCGGGUAGCGAAACUCGGGUGGAUUUUUCCACAAUGAAUGCAUCCAAUCUUCCUAAUUAUACACUAAAACAUUUUUGGGAGUGUUUUUGGGCAUUCAGUUCCGGCACGAAAAAUGAUGCAAAACGGGUGCAUUUCGGCACCCGAAUGCACUAUUUCCGGGUAGCGAAACUCGGGUGGAUUUUUCCGCAACGAACGCAUCGAAUCUUCCUAAUUAUACACUAAAACAUGUUUGGGAGUGUUUUUGGGCAUUCGGUUCCGGCACGAAAAAUGAUGCGAAACGGGUGCAUUUCGACACCCGAAUGCACUAUUUUCGGGUAGCGAAACUUGGGUGGAUUUUUUCGCAACGAACGCAUGCAAUCUUCGUAAUUAGACCCUAGAACAUGUUUGGGAGUGUUUUUGAGCAUUCGGUUCCGGAACGAAAAAUGAUGCAAAACGGGUGCAUUUCGGCACCCGAAUGCACUUUUUCCGUGUAGCGAAAAUCGGGUGGAUUUUUUCGCAACGAACGCAUGCAAUCUUCCUAAUUAUACCCUAGAACAUGUUUGGGAGUGUUUUUGAGCAUUCAGUUCCGGAACGAAAAAUGAUGCAAAACGGGUGCAUUUCGGCACCCGAAUGCAUAUUGCCGGGUAGCGAAACUCGGGUGGAUUUUUUCGCAACGAACGCAUGCAAUCUUCGUAAUUAUACCCUAGAACAUGUUUGGGAGUGUUUUUGAGCAUUCGGUUCCGGAACGAAAAAUGAUGCAAAACGGGUGCAUUUCGGCACCCGAAUGCUAUAUUUCCGGGUAGCGAAACUCGGGUGGAUUUUUCCACAACGAAUGCAUCCAAUCUUCCUAAUUAUACACUAAAACAUUUUUGGGAGUGUUUUUGGGCAUUCAGUUCCGGCACGAAAAAUGAUGCAAAACGGGUGCAUUUCGGCACCCGAAUGCACUAUUUCCGGGUAGCGAAACUCGGGUGGAUUUUUUCGCAACGAACGCAUGCAAUCUUCGUAAUUAUACCCUAGAAAAUGUUUGGGAGUGUUUUUGAGCAUUCGGUUCCGGAACGAAAAAUGAUGCAAAACGGGUGCAUUUCGGCACCCGAAUGCACUAUUUCUGGGUAGCGAAACUCGUGUGGAUUUUUUCGCAACGAACGCAUGCAAUCUUCCUAAUUAUACCCUAGAACAUGUUUGGAAAUGUUUUUGAGCAUUCGGUUCCGGCACGAAAAACGAUGCAAAACGGGUGCAAUACGGCACCCGAAUGCUAUAUUUCCGGGUAGCGAAAGUCGGGUGGAUUUUUUCGCAACGAACGCAUGCAAUCUUCCUAAUUAUACCCUAGAACAUGUUUGGGAGUGUUUUUGGGCAUUCGGUCUCGGCACGAAAAAUGAUGCAAAACGGGUGCAUUUCGACAUCCGAAUGCACUAUUUCCGGGUAGCGAAACUCGGGUGGAUUUUUUCGCAACGAACGCACCCAAUCUACCUCAUUAGACCCUAGAACUUGUUUGGGAUUGUUUUCGAGCAUUCAGUUCCGUCACGAAAAAUGAUGCAAAACGAGUGGAUUUCGGCACCCGAAUGCACUAUUUGCGGGUAGCGAAACUCGGGUGGAUUUUUUCGCAACGAACGCAUGCAAUCUUCCUAAUUAUACCCUAGAACAUGUUUGGGAGUGUUUUUGAGCAUUCGGUUCCGGAACGAAAAAUGAUGCAAAACGGGUGCAUUUCGGCACCCGAAUGCAUAUUGCUGGGUAGCGAAAGUCGGGUGGAUUUUUUCGCAACGAACGCAUGCAAUCUUCCUAAUUAUACCCUAGAACAUGUUUGGGAGUGUUUUUGAGCAUUCGGUUCCGGAACGAAAAAUGAUGCAAAACGGGUGCAUUUCGGCACCCGAAUGCAUUAUUUCCGGGUAACGAAACUCGGGUGGAUUUUUUCGCAACGAACGCAUGCAAUCUUCCUAAUUAUACCCUAGAACAUGUUUGGAAAUGUUUUUGAGCAUUCGGUUCCGGCACAAAAAACGAUGCAAAACCGGUGCAAUACGGCACCCGAAUGCUAUAGUUCCGGGUAACGAAAGUCGGGUAGAUUUUUUCGCAACGAACGCAUGGAAUCUUCCUAAUUAUACCCUAGAACAUGUUCAGAAGUGGUUCCGAGCAUUCGGUUCCGUCACGAAAAAUGAUGCAAAAACAGUGGAUUUUGGCACCCAAAUCCACUAUUUCCAGGUAGCGAAACUCGUGUUCAUUUUCUCGCAACGAACGCAUCCAAUCUACCUCAUUAGACCGUAGAACAUGUUUGGAAGUGUCUUCGAGCAUUCGGUUUCGGCACGAAAAAUGAUGCAAAACGAGUGGAUUUCGGCACCCGAAUGCACUAUUUCCGGGUAGCGAAACUCGGGUGGAUUUUUUCGCAACGAACGCAUGCAAUCUUCGUAAUUAUACCCUAGAACAUGUUUGGGAGUGUUUUUGAGCAUUCGGUUCCGGCACGAAAAAUGAUGCAAAACGGGUGCAUUUCGGCACCCGAAUGCUAUAUUUCCGGGUAGCGAAACUCGGGUGGAUUUUUCCACAACGAAUGCAUCCAAUCUUCCUAAUUAUACACUAAAACAUUUUUGGGAGUGUUUUUGGGCAUUCAGUUCCGGCACGAAAAAUGAUGCAAAACGGGUGCAUUUCGGCACCCGAAUGCACUAUUUCCGGGUAGCGAAACUCGGGUGGAUUUUUUCGCAACGAACGCAUGCAAUCUUCGUAAUUAUACCCUAGAAAAUGUUUGGGAGUGUUUUUGAGCAUUCGGUUCCGGAACGAAAAAUGAUGCAAAACGGGUGCAUUUCGGCACCCGAAUGCACUAUUUCUGGGUAGCGAAACUCGUGUGGAUUUUUUCGCAACGAACGCAUGCAAUCUUCCUAAUUAUACCCUAGAACAUGUUUGGAAAUGUUUUUGAGCAUUCGGUUCCGGCACGAAAAACGAUGCAAAACGGGUGCAAUACGGCACCCGAAUGCUAUAUUUCCGGGUAGCGAAAGUCGGGUGGAUUUUUUCGCAACGAACGCAUGCAAUCUUCCUAAUUAUACCCUAGAACAUGUUUGGGAGUGUUUUUGGGCAUUCGGUCUCGGCACGAAAAAUGAUGCAAAACGGGUGCAUUUCGACAUCCGAAUGCACUAUUUCCGGGUAGCGAAACUCGGGUGGAUUUUUUCGCAACGAACGCACCCAAUCUACCUCAUUAGACCCUAGAACUUGUUUGGGAUUGUUUUCGAGCAUUCAGUUCCGUCACGAAAAAUGAUGCAAAACGAGUGGAUUUCGGCACCCGAAUGCACUAUUUGCGGGUAGCGAAACUCGGGUGGAUUUUUUCGCAACGAACGCAUGCAAUCUUCGUAAUUAUACCCUAGAAAAUGUUUGGGAGUGUUUUUGAGCAUUCGGUUCCGGAACGAAAAAUGAUGCAAAACGGGUGCAUUUCGGCACCCGAAUGCAUUAUUUCCGGGUAACGAAACUCGGGUGGAUUUUUUCGCAACGAACGCAUGCAAUCUUCCUAAUUAUACCCUAGAACAUGUUUGGAAAUGUUUUUUAGGAUUCGGUUCCGGCACAAAAAACGAUGCAAAACCGGUGCAAUACGGCACCCGAAUGCUAUAGUUCCGGGUAACAAAAGUCGGGUAGAUUUUUUCGCAACGAACGCAUGGAAUCUUCCUAAUUAUACCCUAGAACAUGUUCAGAAGUGUUUCCGAGCAUUCGGUUCCGUCACGAAAAAUGAUGCAAAAACAGUGGAUUUUGGCACCCAAAUCCACUAUUUCCAGGUAGCGAAACUCGUGUUCAUUUUCUCGCAACGAACGCAUCCAAUCUACCUCAUUAGACCGUAGAACAUGUUUGGAAGUGUCUUCGAGCAUUCGGUUUCGGCACGAAAAAUGAUGCAAAACGAGUGGAUUUCGGCACCCGAAUGCACUAUUUCCGGGUAGCGAAACUCGGGUGGAUUUUUUCGCAACGAACGCAUGCAAUCUUCGUAAUUAUACCCUAGAACAUGUUUGGGAGUGUUUUUGAGCAUUCGGUUCCGGCACGAAAAAUGAUGCAAAACGGGUGCAUUUCGGCACCCGAAUGCUAUAUUUCCGGGUAGCGAAACUCGGGUGGAUUUUUCCACAACGAAUGCAUCCAAUCUUCCUAAUUAUACACUAAAACAUUUUGGGAGUGUUUUUGGGCAUUCAGUUCUGGCACGAAAAAUGAUGCAAAACGGGUGCAUUUCGGCACCCGAAUGCACUAUUUCCGGGUAGCGAAACUCGGGUGGAUUUUUCCGCAACGAACGCAUCCAAUCUUCCUAAUUAUACACUAAAACAUGUUUGGGAGUGUUUUUGGGCAUUCGGUUCCGGCACGAAAAAUGAUGCAAAACGGGUGCAUUUCGACACCCGAAUGCACUAUUUUCGGGUAGCGAAACUCGGGUGGAUUUUUUCGCAACGAACGCAUGCAAUCUUCGUAAUUAGACCCUAGAACAUGUUUGGGAGUGUUUUUGAGCAUUCGGUUCCGGAACGAAAAAUGAUGCAAAACGGGUGCAUUUCGGCACCCGAAUGCACUUUUUCCGUGUAGCGAAAAUCGGGUGGAUUUUUUCGCAACGAACGCAUGCAAUCUUCCUAAUUAUACCCUAGAACAUGUUUGGGAGUGUUUUUGGGCAUUCGGUCUCGGCACGAAAAAUGAUGCAAAACGGGUGCAUUUCGACAUCCGAAUGCACUAUUUCCGGGUAGCGAAACUCGGGUGGAUUUUUUUGCAACGAACGCAUGCAAUCUUCCUAAUUAUACCCUAGAACAUGUUUGGAAAUGUUUUUGAGCAUUCGGUUCCGGCACGAAAAACGAUGCAAAACGGGUGCAAUUCGGCACCCGAAUGCUAUAUUUCCGGGUAGCGAAAGUCGGGUGGAUUUUUUCGCAACGAACGCAUGCAAUCUUCCUAAUUAUACCCUAGAACAUGUUUGGGAGUGUUUUUGGGCAUUCGGUUCCGGAACGAAAAAUGAUGCAAAACGGGUGCAUUUCGGCACCCGAAUGCACUAUUUCUGGGUAGCGAAACUCGUGUGGAUUUUUUCGCAACGAACGCAUGCAAUCUUCCUAAUUAUACCCUAGAACAUGUUUGGAAAUGUUUUUGAGCAUUCGGUUCCGGCACGAAAAACGAUGCAAAACGGGUGGAAUACGGCACCCGAAUGCUAUAUUUCCGGGUAGCGAAAGUCGGGUGGAUUUUUUCGCAACGAACGCAUGCAAUCUUCCUAAUUAUACCCUAGAACAUGUUUGGGAGUGUUUUUGGGCAUUCGGUCUCGGCACGAAAAAUGAUGCAAAACGGGUGCAUUUCGACAUCCGAAUGCACUAUUUCCGGGUAGCGAAACUCGGGUGGAUUUUUUCGCAACGAACGCACCCAAUCUACCUCAUUAGACCCUAGAACUUGUUUGGGAUUGUUUUCGAGCAUUCAGUUCCGUCACGAAAAAUGAUGCAAAACGAGUGGAUUUCGGCACCCGAAUGCACUAUUUGCGGGUAGCGAAACUCGGGUGGAUUUUUUCGCAACGAACGCAUGCAAUCUUCCUAAUUAUACCCUAGAACAUGUUUGGGAGUGUUUUUGAGCAUUCGGUUCCGGAACGAAAAAUGAUGCAAAACGGGUGCAUUUCGGCACCCGAAUGCAUAUUGCUGGGUAGCGAAAGUCGGGUGGAUUUUUUCGCAACGAACGCAUGCAAUCUUCCUAAUUAUACCCUAGAACAUGUUUGGGAGUGUUUUUGAGCAUUCGGUUCCGGAACGAAAAAUGGUGCAAAACGGGUGCAUUUCGGCACCCGAAUGCAUAUUGCUGGGUAGCGAAAGUCGGGUAGAUUUUUUCGCAACGAACGCAUGGAAUCUUCCUAAUUAUACCCUAGAACAUGUUCAGAAGUGUUUCCGAGCAUUCGGUUCCGUCACGAAAAAUGAUGCAAAAACAGUGGAUUUUGGCACCCAAAUCCACUAUUUCCAGGUAGCGAAACUCGUGUUCAUUUUCUCGCAACGAACGCAUCCAAUCUACCUCAUUAGACCGUAGAACAUGUUUGGAAGUGUCUUCGAGCAUUCGGUUUCGGCACGAAAAAUGAUGCAAAACGAGUGGAUUUCGGCACCCGAAUGCACUAUUUCCGGGUAGCGAAACUCGGGUGGAUUUUUUCGCAACGAACGCAUGCAAUCUUCGUAAUUAUACCCUAGAACAUGUUUGGGAGUGUUUUUGAGCAUUCGGUUCCGGCACGAAAAAUGAUGCAAAACGGGUGCAUUUCGGCACCCGAAUGCUAUAUUUCCGGGUAGCGAAACUCGGGUGGAUUUUUCCACAACGAAUGCAUCCAAUCUUCCUAAUUAUACACUAAAACAUUUUUGGGAGUGUUUUUGGGCAUUCAGUUCCGGCACGAAAAAUGAUGCAAAACGGGUGCAUUUCGGCACCCGAAUGCACUAUUUCCGGGUAGCGAAACUCGGGUGGAUUUUUCCGCAACGAACGCAUCGAAUCUUCCUAAUUAUACACUAAAACAUGUUUGGGAGUGUUUUUGGGCAUUCGGUUCCGGCACGAAAAAUGAUGCAAAACGGGUGCAUUUCGACACCCGAAUGCACUAUUUUCGGGUAGCGAAACUCGGGUGGAUUUUUUCGCAACGAACGCAUGCAAUCUUCGUAAUUAGACCCUAGAACAUGUUUGGGAGUGUUUUUGAGCAUUCGGUUCCGGAACGAAAAAUGAUGCAAAACGGGUGCAUUUCGGCACCCGAAUGCACUUUUUCCGUGUAGCGAAAAUCGGGUGGAUUUUUUCGCAACGAACGCAUGCAAUCUUCCUAAUUAUACCCUAGAACAUGUUUGGGAGUGUUUUUGAGCAUUCGGUUCCGGAACGAAAAAUGAUGCAAAACGGGUGCAUUUCGGCACCCGAAUGCAUAUUGCCGGGUAGCGAAACUCGGGUGGAUUUUUUCGCAACGAACGCAUGCAAUCUUCGUAAUUAUACCCUAGAACAUGUUUGGGAGUGUUUUUGAGCAUUCGGUUCCGGAACGAAAAAUGAUGCAAAACGGGUGCAUUUCGGCACCCGAAUGCAUUAUUUCCGGGUAGCGAAACUCGGGUGGAUUUUUUCGCAACGAACGCAUGCAAUCUUCCU
rnacentral:lncRNA from 1 species